UUGACAGAAGAGACAGGGAUAUUCAUGGUGGAGGACUAGCCUCCUUUGUAAGAUCAGACAUACCAUCAAGAAGAAGAAAAGAUCUUGAGUGUAAAAACAUUGAAAACCUAGUUUAUGAGGUCCCUCAAGUUAAGACAACAACAUAUGGUUUCACGGAGUGAAUAAGGAUUCAGAAUUCUGAAAAAGUAUGAUAGAAGUAUCUGAGCAUCAGUCUUGAAGAAUUAAGCAGUUGAAACCAGUUGUAAAUUAGUGGUGGAAAAAUGGAACUCUUACCAGCUGACGCACAGAACAGUAACUUUAGCGACAACAGCUGCGUGUUACCACUCAGUUCCGGGAAUAAGACACAUUUCGCUGAGGGUUCUGAGGGUUCGUUGUAUGGAGGUAUUCCAGAAAAUCUUACAAUCAAUGGGAUUGUUUGGGUGGUUUUGCUGAUACUGUUUGCUGUAUUGAGGAGAAUAGCCUGGGACUAUAGAAGAAUUGCACUUGUCAGCCGAAAGGAAGAAAAGUAAGAUAUAUUGUU